ensembl:misc_RNA Metazoa_SRP Metazoan signal recognition particle RNA
GCCGGGCGUGGUGGUGCACGCCUGUAAUCCCAGCUACUCAGGAGGCUGAGGCAGGAGAAUCACUUGAGCCCUGGAGGCAGAGGUCGCAGUGAGCCGAGAUCAGGCCACUACACUCCAGCCUGGGAGACAGAGUGAUACUCUGUCUCAA